CGGCCACUUUACAUUGAAACACCGGUUCCCGUAAGAUUACCGAAGUUAAGCAACGUCGAACCUGGUCAGUACGUAGACGGGUGACCGAUUGGGAAUAACAAGUGCUGUAA